GACGAACGCUGGCGGCACGCUUAACACAUGCAAGUCGAACGAGAGAAGAGAAGCUUGCUUUUCUGAUCUAGUGGCGGACGGGUGAGUAACACGUGAGCAAUCUGCCUUUCAGAGGGGGAUACCGAUUGGAAACGAUCGUUAAUACCGCAUAACAUAAUUGAACCGCAUGAUUUGAUUAUCAAAGAUUUAUCGCUGAAAGAUGAGCUCGCGUCUGAUUAGCUAGUUGGUAAGGUAACGGCUUACCAAGGCGACGAUCAGUAGCCGGACUGAGAGGUUGAUCGGCCACAUUGGGACGGAGACACGGCCCAGACUCCUACGGGAGGCAGCAGUGGGGAAUAUUGCACAAUGGAGGAAACUCUGAUGCAGCGAUGCCGCGUGAGGGAAGAAGGUUUUAGGAUUGUAAACCUCUGUCUUCAGGGACGAAAAAAGACGGUACCUGAGGAGGAAGCUCCGGCUAACUACGUG
rnacentral:rRNA from 1 species